rnacentral:rRNA from 1 species
UACGAGGGGGGCAAAUGUUGUUCGGAAUCACUGGGCGUAAAGGGAGCGUAGGCGGGCUUCUAAGUUAGGUGUUUAAUCCCAGGGCCCAACCCUGGUCAGGCACCUAAAACUGGGAGUCUUGAAUAGUGGAGAGGACGAUGGAAUUGGGGGUGUAGCGGUGGAAUGCGUAGAGAUCCCCAAGAACACCAGUUGCGAAGGCGGUCUCUGGACACAUAUUGACGCUGAGGCUCGAAAGCAUGGGGAGCAAACAGG